AACAGCAUUUUGGGUUCUAUUCUUCCAGUGCUGAUACAGAAAACAGGAAUACCAGAUGUUUCACAAACCACUGAAAGGUUAGCUAGUCGACUGAGAUGCAUGACGUUUCUCAAGGCAGCUGGCCAACCAGGUGACAGUUCUGGAUGCCAGAAUUCUUCAAUCCAGCUGUUGGCAAGACUGGUCCCUCCUGGAGGCUCUGAAGAAGAAUUUGUUCCAUGCUUUUAAGAAGUCUCUCUCCUAGCUUCUGAUGGCUACUGUGGCUGCAGAGUUCAAGUUGGGCCUUCCUUGGCUAUUUGCCAUCCCAAUGCCAAUUAGUGUACACAGAGCCUGGAUUCUUCUCCAGCCAGGAGGGGCAUGGUUACAGCCUGGCCUCAUCAUCAGAAGGUGCCUGGCUACUUCAAGAGUUGAGCUAAUCACAGGGAAGAUUUGGUCUCAGUUCAGCUGCCUCAUUUGAUCAACUCAAGACUGAGUCCAACAAAAGUGGUCUGUCUAAUGAAACUCAUUUUCAUUUUUUCUCAUUAGUCUAUACACGACUGAGACUGUAAAAGGACAAAAGAAUAAAAAGAAAAAUGACAAUUAAAAAUCAUUUUCUCUGGCCCUUGAUUUUUGUCUUCUUCUUCUUCUUUUUUUUAAUGGAGCUAUGUGCUCAUUUCUUUUUUCUUUUUUAUUCUCUGCUCUUCUUUUCUCUUGAUUUUCCAUUUAUGCAGGGAGAAUUAGGAAAUCAUGGUCUGAGUGCUGAGAUGUUCUGAUAGGCCUCUAAGUUUUCAGCUUUACUCUGUAUCAGAAUAAUAAUCUCUGUCAAACAGCCUGACAUUGGCACCACCUUCCCAGGAAUCCAGGAGCACCUCUGCAUGAUGAAAAGCAGAAGAGAGCAAAGUCACGAAAUAUUGUGUGUGUUUGUAUAAAAUCACAUAUUUUUGCUCACAUAUAAUAUACAUUUCUGCUCAUUUUUCCUUUAAAAGCUGCUAUUAUUUAAAAUCCAUUGCCUAAUAAAACUGCAAUUCACCUUUGUGAUUCACUCUUUUGUUUGCUGUCACAGAGAAGAUAGAAAUUGAGCAGGGUUUCUGCUUUCCUUCGAUACCAAGGUCAGAAUAAAGUGAUAGUGGAAAGAAAACAAGGGUCUUGUUUCAAAAAUCCUUCAAUUCCAUGUAACUGAAAACAUGAGUCCAACUGACUUUCUUUUAAAACGGUGAGGUAUUCCAUAACUAAGAGUCCUGAAGUAGUGGUCAGGUGAAGAUUAUGACAUGGAUUAAUAAUGCCACUCAAAUAACCGUUUUUUUCCUGAUGUCUUUCCUGGUGCCAUAAGAUGGCCUCCCACAGCUAGUGGGAAUUAUUUGCCCCUAAUUCAUAUUUAGCAGGAAGUUACAGUAUGUCUUGUAGCAGUUCUCUUGGAGGAUCAGAUAAACUUUUUUUUUUUCUGGUAAGCCCCUAUCUGAGUGUCUGAUUGGCCCAAUUGGUCACAUUUUCUGAACCAAUCAUGAGGUCAGGAGGAUGGGGCCUGAGUGUUGACUGGCUAAACCAGUUAAGACCCACACACAUGGAGGUGGGGUGGAGGCUAUAUGGGUGUUAUGUUGAUGGCUGAAUUAUGAAAAACCCAAGGAAAAGGAUGAAUGCAUGUUGGGAGGUUGAGAACAGUACAUAGUCAUCUCAGAGGUAAACAUCAGAAGGGUU
ensembl:lncRNA